AGCAACAUGAGACCCGGAAUCUUGGACUUCUUCAGUAGGAUGAGGAUUGAAAGAGCUGUAGUACAAAAUAGGGUCGCCUGUAGUCAUCAUGGGUAUAGCUGGAGUGAUUACUUGGUAUGUGUUUCGCUGUCGCAAGCUAGAAAGUGCAGAUGAAAGCUGCAUGAACAGCAAGAUCAAGUCUAAGACCGAAUUCCAGGGGCAUUAACAAGGAAAUGAAAGAGCAAAAGGUUGGAAAAAAUUGGAGCUUAGUCAUUGCCUGGUCGUUGAUUUCAUUUAUUUGGAGCAAUACCGCAGCAUAGUGCUUCUUGAAAGAUUCUGAAUCUCUCAGAUUA
rnacentral:lncRNA from 1 species